CCGGGGUCGGGCAGACCCGGGAGCCCAGCCGCCCGGCGAGGCGCCCUGGAAGCGGCCCCGCGGACUGGUGCUUCCCGCCGGGGGACCCCGCGGACCGCCGCCUGCCCUCGUCCGGAGUGGCGCUGGGCUUCGGGGGAGUUGAGACAGCGCGCAAGUGGGAGUCGCCGGCGUCCCGGCAGUGACCGCAGCUGCUCUCUUCCCCUGGCCCGGGCAGCCCCGCCCGCCUGUGUGAUUCGCCCCCGAGCCGCCCUGAGCCCCCCGUCCUCUGGACCCCGGCCCACUCCUAGGUUCACCUGGGGGCGCUUGGGCUGGGGGUGAGAUUCUGUGUAUUGUUUUUCCUUUGAGGCGUGCUUGUGCGGCUUUGGCGACUUUUGGAUGUCUAGGCACCGGGCGGCUGCAGGGGCCCCAGGCGGCGCUGAUUGCUGAGACGGAGUUGCGCAGGGCCAGGGGUUCUGCAUGAGCUCUCCAAGGACGGAGGCAGGAGCGCAAGCGAGAGAGCUCGAGGGCAGACUCUGACCCACGGCUCCGGUGGACGGGUGCGCGCCGCCGCGGCCGCUCCAGCAGCGCUGUCGAUCUAGCAGCCGCUGGCACCUUGCGAGCUCCGGGAUCCGAGAGUCGGCGACGCGGGCGAGCACCGCUCACCAUGGGCUCCGCGCGCCGGGCGCUGUCCGCGAUGCCCGCUGUGCUGCUGCUUCUCGCGCUGCCCGGGCUGCCCGCCUGGGCGCAGAACGACACCGAGCCAAUCGUCUUGGAGGGCAAGUGUCUGGUGGUGUGCGACUCGAACCCGGCUACGGACUCCAAGGGCUCCUCUUCCUCCCCUCUGGGGAUAUCGGUGCGGGCGGCCAACUCCAAGGUGGCCUUCUCGGCAGUGAGGAGCACCAACCACGAGCCAUCCGAGAUGAGCAACAAGACGCGGAUCAUUUACUUCGAUCAGAUCCUAGUUAAUGUGGGUAAUUUCUUCACAUUAGAGUCUGUCUUUGUAGCACCACGGAAAGGAAUCUACAGUUUCAGUUUUCAUGUCAUUAAAGUCUACCAGAGCCAAACAAUCCAGGUUAACUUGAUGUUAAAUGGAAAACCAGUAAUAUCUGCAUUUGCUGGGGACAAAGAUGUCACGCGUGAAGCUGCCACAAAUGGAGUCCUGCUUUACCUGGACAAGGAAGAUAAGGUUUACCUAAAACUUGAGAAAGGUAACUUGGUUGGAGGCUGGCAGUAUUCCACAUUCUCUGGCUUUCUGGUAUUCCCCCUAUAGAAUUUGAUUUCUCCGUGGUGUUUAUCCAGGGGAGGGGCAGCCUACCCCUGAGUUACUGGACGAUCAUAUUUUCAUCAUUGGAUUGAUGUCUUUUAUUGGUUUCUCGUGGGUGAAUAUGGAUUCUCUUUAAGGAUUCUAGACCUGUCUGAGCCAACACAAAGUUCCAGAGGUUAUUUUUGUGUGUACACGUUUCAGUAUAUUUGGAUUGCGACUCAAAGCAGACAAUACCUAUCUAUGCUUAAAUGUAACAGUCAAAAGUUGUCUUCAGGUUUGUUCUGAGUUUAAUUUCGUGGAAUUACUGAAUUCGUUUGCAGAUGUGGAAUUUUAUUUAUUUAUUUUUUAAAAGGCUGGCAACCGGGUCUGAGAAUCAGAAAACUAAAGUUCUGACUUCAAUCAAUGGUUAGGGCGAUACUGCCAAAGAACCGUGUGCUGUUUCAAUAUAUUGGCUACACUUGUUUUUAUUGCUUUGGAAUUUGUUUUGUUCUCUUAAGGCAACUGGGAAUUGUUUCUCAGUGGCUGGCAUUGUGUAUUCUCUAUAAAUAAGGUGAUGGCUUGUCUGGAAAUUUACCUUGACUAUGAGAUUACCAACAUGAUUUCCCUAAAACAAGAAAGAGAAAGAAGAAUACUUCAUAGUUGUAUUUUAAUUAUCUAUGUGAAAGAGUCAUAUUUUCCAAAUUAUAUUUUCUAAUAGGAAAAGUAGAUCAUAAAUCUGACAAGGAAAAAGUUGCUUACCCGAAUUCUAAGUGUUCAGUCCCCAAACUUCGGCAAAACAUCUCCCCGCCGUGGAAAAUCUUAUACUUUAUUGCUCAACUUUAAUUAACAUGAUUGAUAAUGACUGCUUUAUUAAAAACCUAAGGGAUUUUUUUCCCCCUUAGAUAUGACCACUUUAUUAACUGGAAAUGGGGUACCCUUGAUUUUAAUUAUACCUAUUUUUCAAGCCUUCUGUUGUGUUUGAAGCAUCAUCUGGUUUUGCCUUAAUUCCUUAAAUUGUAUAUAUUUAUCUGUUCAACUAAUAUUAAAUCCAAAUAUCCCAUACCUAAAUUUAGUGCAAUAUCUUAUUUUGUCUUUUGUAUAGGUCACAUGAAUUCAUAAAAUUAUUUAUGUCUCUGUUAUAGAAUAAAGAUUAAUAUAUGUUAGUUGAAUUGUUUUGUCCUUUCAGUUUUGGAAGAAUGUUUUUUUUCCCCUCUCCCUUAUUUUCCCUCCCUCUCUUCCCAUCUCUCCCUUCCUCCUUCCUUCCUCUUGUUUUCUGGAGUUUAAGAAAAUCUUUUUGAAUUUCCUGGUAAUGUCCUUUAAACUGGUAUAGGAAAUCUUUACAGUGUUUAAUCUGUCCAAAUCCAGGAGUUGCAAGCUUGCCAAAAGAGAAUCAAUGAACCUAGUAAACCCUUCUUUCAGAAGGACUGACUGUAAGGAAGUUAGGCUUAGAAAGAUGCCCUAAAAUAUCACGAGAGUGCUUACUGUAUGAAUGAAUGUUCAUGAGUAUAAAGACCAAUAUUUUCCAGCUGAAGACUUGGGGAAAGGCUCUGUCCUGCUCUUCUCACUAAAAUGCAGAAGAUCAUAGGCUUCUUUUAAGGAGGAGCUGUUAUAACACGUGUGUUGCCUGGGAAUUUUAGCUCCACUUCGUGGUCCGUAGUCAGAUAAAGCAAUUAGGGGUAGGGCAGAGGCCCUUUUUUGUAGCUGGUGGGAGCAAGCGAUACUUACGCCCACAUGACUUCUAGUAUGUUUGUGAUUAAUCUCCAAAUCAAAAUACUCACUCAUCUCCAGGAAGAACUGCCCUCUUUUCCCAGAAAGCAUUAUCUGGAGAUGUUGGUAACAGAUCCUUCGUGCAAGUCACCUCCAGCUGGAUUUCAGUCAAUAAUUUUGAAUUUAUAAUACUAAAAAAAUCCAGGAUUGCACAGAGAGACAGUAAAAGAGAUGUUCUUCUAAAGCAAGUAGACUCUAUAAAUUCACGUGCUCUUGUGUACCAGGGUGAAUCAUACUCCCAUCUAUUACUUGUCAAUGACUUGGCAAAAUGGCACAAGAAUAUUGGAAUUACCAACUGGCACUUAUGAUUGGCCAGACAAAAAUAAUUAUCAAAAGAGACCAGGGUAGAAAUGCCUUUCAUAAAGAUGCUGUGACAGUCUUUGGGGGCUUGCCUUUAUUUUUCCUGAUUUCUUCUGAUCAUAAAGGAACUCUGGCAAAGUGCUUGUCUUUGAUCCAUAACCUCUAGUGUACACAUUUUGGAAUACAACAUCCAUUUGAAACUUUCAAAAAGAAGUCUAUUUGAAAAGGUACCAAGGCUAUGGCAACCUGGGACAGUGGACAGUUGUGGUCAGAUGGCCUUCCAGGAAAUGGAAGCUACUCCCUUAAGCACACUGGGUGAAAAGGAAAGAGUGACAUGAGAGAGGAAAAGCAGCAGGACAGAAUGAUAUGGCCAGAAGAGCUUGGAUUUUGGGUGGAUGUUGGUUAGAGUCUUGCCGCCUCUAUUUGCCAUUCUGUAACCUUGGGCAGGUUCUGUCACCUCUCUGACCUUUAAUCAUUUUAUUUCUAAACAAGCAAAAGUUGGUUGUAAGGAUUAAAUAAAGCACUGAGGUGCCUAGAGCAUAGCAGGAGCUCAACCAAGAGCCUACUAUGAUUACUAAAACUUAAAGUCCUAAUAUAGACAAAGCAACAAGUAGGGCUGCAAGAGGAGAUUCAGAUUGGCAGGAGGAUGGAAGGAAAUUGAGUUGGAGUGUGACGGAGUGAAGAGCAGGAGGCUGUGGUGUUAGAAGUUUUUUUUUCAGAAAUGGAGUCAGAUGCUCCCUGUGUGUCCUAUGACUUGAAAAUUGUUUUCAGAAAUCGCUAGGUCCACAAAAAUGCUAAUGGAACAUAGGAUUUGCAUUGGCCCUGUCCACAUUCAUCAAUGCCAGCCUCUGUCCUGGAUGGUUCCUAUCUCCUUUGACUGCUCCUUGAUCUAUUGAUCUGCAAAUGCUAGCAGUUGUCUGCAGCAAGCAGUUUCCUCUAGACAGGAACUCAGGUAAACACAACAGAAGGAAAUGGAAAAUGUGCACACAGAGUCUCACAGAUCCUAAUCCCUUUUGGGGUGUACCCUGUGAUCCCAGAUUCCAUUAGACUUAUUAUCUAAUUACAUUUUAAAAAAUUCUUUAAAAAUUUUUUUUUGAGUUCAGUUUGUGUUCCCCUUUUUCUUUUAGUUUCUGUCAACUUGGAUAACUUCCUGUUUUGAGGUUCUCCCCUUUAGCAAGUUAUUGUUUCAAAUUUUGAAAUAGACACCUUCAGCAAACAUCAGCUAAAUGAUGCUUAUAAUGGGUCAUACACAUCACAAGUUGCUGAGUCUAGAGUGGUGGCUUCUCUCUCUUCCUGAUCUCCCCAAAUACCCAACAAAGCUAGAAUCUUCACGAGGAGCAAUAUCUGUCUAAAGGUUUGGGCCCACCCCCGCCUCCUACCUUGACUAUAGAAACCACCUGUCCCCUGGCAGUGGAGGUCUCCAGAUUGGUUGGCCUAAAGGUCUCAAGAAGUAAUGAGAGCAGAGCGAAGUGACAGCUGUCCACAUCCUGUCCUUUGCAGCUAGCAACUUAAACUCUUAUCCUAAAUGAUUUUCUUUGGUAUCGAGGGGGUAGGGGUUUAAGAAUUUGCCUUCUAAAUAGGUUGGUUACCCUCUCUUCUCUAAUAUAGGCCUGCCUUUCAUGUGGAUUUCAGAUAUCUUAGAACCAAAAUGAUAAUUUUGCUCUUAGUACCUCUGACCUUUCAGAUAGAAAAUAAUGUCUUUGACUUUGACCCUGAAGUUCUGUUCUCAAACUAAUGUGCAUAAGAAUCACCUGGAAAUCUUGGUAAAAUUCAUACUCUCCUGCGGCACAGCUGGGGAAUGGGGAGGCAGGGUCUGCUUCUCUGUCCAACUCCUGGGGACACGAAUGCUGCUGGCCGCACUACAGGUUCAGUGGCAUGGUCUACUCAGGGUACAUCUGUGUUCCCCCAGCAUUCAUGCAUGGGGUGAGGGCUUGCUGGAAGCCCCCCAUGGAGCCAAGGCUCACCCUACACCUAUCAGUUUGGAAACUGCAUUUUGACAAGAUUUCCUGCCCCUCUCAUUGUUUUCAGGCACCAUUACAUUUCAUGGAGCCCUAUCUUGAAGUAAAUCCCAGAGAUCAGCUGCACAGAGAUGGCCUGGGCUGGGCUUCUGGCAGCUGCAGUCUAGCACAGUCCCCGGGGAUGUUCACAGCCAUGCCGUGCAGUGCAGGGCCUUGUGUUUAUAGGGACCAGGACUGUGAGUGGAGAUGUGAGUCAGCGUGACAUCCUCAUUCUGGGGUCAGGGACUCUUCCCACGUGCAUGGAGCAAGCAUUGCAGGAAGACUUCGUCUCCAGGAAAGAUGUGGGGACCCUGACCCAAAGGCAGAGGUAAGUCAGUGACAGGAAGUGGUUAUCUGGUGAAGAAUGCAAGCCCUGGGAUGCUCCUCAUACCUUCAGCCUUCCAUCAGAGUGGCGGAUAUAGUCACUUACUGCUUUUGUUUCUAACUAAAGUACUCCUCCUCCAGGGAGAGAAGUGCACAAGGGACCUAGACUCAGAAGACACUGCGCAUUGAGUAAAGGGCACACGUGUGUGCGUGGCUGUGUGUGUGUGUGUGAGAGAGAGAGAGAGAGAGAGAGAGAGAAACUCAGAUGAAUCAAUGACAUCAGUCAUUUCUGUAUGGCCAGUCUCCGUAUUUAAAGUUCAUGCAAAGGCAGAAGGCUUUCUGACUAUAUUUUAGGUUCAUUAUUGAUAUUUAUGAGAAAAUACAUUAUUGCAUGCACUGAGUUUAGGAGGCCUUUAUUUCCCAUGAAGCCACUUUGAGAACAUAAACUUGGACUUUCUAAGAACCGGGAAUUUUGAGGAAAUUUGAGCAGCCAGUGGUCUGUGGUUCUCAGGGAAACUGAGAGGUUCCUGCCAAUAUCUCUUCUUCCCUCACAAUUUGGGGUGAGAGAAGCAAGCGUGUCUGUUUCUCCUCUUUCUCUCUUCCUCUCUGCUGUUUUGCUGUUUUUGUCACACUUAAGCUUCGAUGUCAAAGUGUAAUCAAUAAGAGGAGGAAAAUGUAGGGAAAUCAAUGCAGGAUGGGUGAAUGCUUCCACAUUGCUAGUUUUUAACCUUCAUGACAAGAGAACAUAAGCAUGGCUUGACAUGACCUGUCCAUUCUGUGCAGUCACUUCACUGCUGUUUUUCAGAAGUCCUAGAAAAAGAGGGACUAGAAAAGUCAGAAGAAGGGAAAGGAUAGGAAGACAGUGAGGCCUGUGGACCCAGUGGUUGAGAACACUGAUAUGGAGGCAGGUUGUGUGUGUAUGGAAAAGACCGUCUAGUGACAAGGUCUUGUGUUCUGGGUCUGGUAUGACCACACACGAAAGGGGGCUGUUGCCAUUGGCUAAGCCUUUUAAGGAAUGAAUCUGCACCAAAUGCUUAGGUCAGAAAAUAUCUCUAGCCCCUGAUUAUAUAAUAAAAAACCUCUACCGCCCACUCGGUUGCCUGGACCAUUGCCCUGUUUAAUGAGUAACAAUGGCCAACUCGAACAAUUCCAUUCUCAAGGUGGAGUGAGAGGUUUUAAUUACUUCUGUGUUUUCCUUUGUGAGUUACAUGGGGUAGUUUUCUUCCAAGUUCCUUCUCCCUAGCUAUUUAAAAACAUAUAAACAGUCACAAGGGUUUCUUUCAAAAUAACUUAGCUUUUACUUUGAAUGUUAGCAUUUUUAACACCACAGUGAAAAAAGUGAUGAUUUUUUCCCCCUAUGUGAAAAAAAAAUAGAAUGGAGCAAAUGCUAACAUAACAAGCAUUCGAUCAAAAAAGUGGUGUCCACGGCUAGAAAGCAGCUCCCCUAGGAAGACUAGGGAGAAACUGGCUAUAAAACUCGGCUGCUGUCCGACAUGAGGAUGGAAUGGCAAAGAGUGGAAGUGAUCGUGUCUCGCAGUGGCUGUCCCUUUCUUCCCCUGCUUUCUCUCUGAGUGUUCAGGUCAGCUCUUUGCGGACAGAAGAGGGCUGCAUCACCAGCACAGGUCUCAGCUCCUGUGGGGUGACUUUGUGAACCACAGGUGGCAUCAGAAGGUGCACUAGAUUCUGUUCUUCCCUCUCUCUACCAGGCUGAUUGGAAGGAGAAAUGCUGCUGAAACAGCCUGGUAACUUCUCUCCAGGGAGAGGAGUGCCCCAUGCUUCAGUAUUUCAAGGAAGCUGUUGGCGAGCUUGGAAGGAAGCCAGGACUUGCUUUUGCUGCCCUGGGAGAGACACUCAGAGCGGGGGGCCUCCAGAGGGCGGGAGAUUUAGGAGCCACAUCAGGAGCCUCCCGGGCUGGUCUCGGGGGAGACAGGACUUUGCCCUUCUUUCCUUCUUAUGGGAUGAUAAGACAACAUUUUAUAAGUACCCAUAAAGGGGAAUGUGGAGUCCAUAAGAGCCAUUAAAAAGUCCUGCUCUGCAAGAUUUGCUUUUCUUUGACUGAAUUGGUUGUUAAAAGGAAAAGAAAAACUACACAGCACCUCUUUACUACCAGCGGUUGGCGCAGUGCUAGGACUUGAAGUUGAACGCGAGUUGAACGCGAGUUACAAGGUCGUCCAUGUGAGUUUCUGAUUGCUGGAGGCCAACUGUUAGGACGGAAAUAAGGCAAGAACCUUCCCUUGGGAAUUGGAGGCAUCUUUUUUUUUUUUUAAUAGAAGGAACAUACACUUAUUGUGUGCCUGCUGUAUACCCCACACUCAGGAAACUGCUCUUCCAUCAUCCCAGCAAGCUUUUGGAGAACACCUCUUUGUAGGCAGAAGUUCUGCGAAUAGAAAGCAGAGCACAGUAUUAGCAUUUAUUGAGCUCAGGGAUCAGAGUGUUUUAAAACAGCCAAGUGCUGUAGGUGACCUACCUCCUCCCAGCUCUGACCACUGUUUUUUCAGGGCCAAACUUUGUUAAAAGGACAAAGAGGGCCUCCAGGGACAGAUGUUGGAGUUGUACACUGCACUGUUCCAUGGGUGUACCAUUUCUAUCACGGGCAUCAGAAAGUGAUUUGUGAUCAGUUUUCUAGAAGAAAGCAUCAGAUUGUUACCUCCUAAUAAAUAGGCCAUCUUCUGAUGGAUGAAAGUUCUUUAACAAGGAGCUCCUUUUCCUAGCUUGUACAGAAGUGGCUUGUGGUGAGUGGUAGUGAGGAGGGAUGGGAGAGGUCUGACUGCCUCACCUUGUUCAUUGUGUCUGAUUUAUUUCUCCCUCCCUUCCUCCCUUGCUCUCUCAGUCUCCUUCUUUUCUUUCUCCUUGUCCCCCCCCCCCCAUCUCUCUCUCUCUCUGUGCUAGGGAUGGAACCCAGGGUGUCACACAUGCUAGGUAAGUGCUGUACCAUGGAGCUAUAUUCCUAGCAUUUAAAAUUUUAUUUUUACACAGGGUCUCACUAAGUUGCCAAGGCUGGCCUCCAGCCUAAGAUCCUCCCACCUCAGCCUCCCAAGCAGCUGGGAGGACAGGCUUGUGCCAUCAUGCCAGUCAUGGUAUCUGCACUGUAAAGAGAGUCUUUGAUUAUGGGAAGUUGGGCAUCAGGCCUGUGCACCCCAGGGUCUGAGUUAGUGGAUCUGGUACCCGUAGAAGCUCAUUUCAGUGGGUUUGAAGCCCAGGCCUCUGCCGGGCUCCAGUCCACAGGAAGUCCCCAUGGACACCUAGAGCGGGAGGCCAAGGAAAUUGACCCCUCCUGCAAGCCAACAGGCAGCUUCCUUAAAAGCUCAGCAGGUUGAGCAGGAAUCCAUAAAUGUAGCUUCCCAAGGAAAAUAAUUCCUUAAAAGUUUCUUGUAACUCAACUUUAUUUCUGCCUCUAGGAUCCCAACCGACACCCACUCUGGAUUGGAUUGUAAAAAAGCUUUUCCUCCAUUACUCUUGAUCCCAGCCUCUUCAGCACAGGUUUGGACAGGCCUGCUGGGGCCACUGAGGGCGGGGCAGGUGUGGUCAGGGACCUAAGGGGAUCGUGAUGGAGGUGGCAGGAAGUGUGACACCCUGUUUGCUUCUGGCUGUGCAUUUUUCCUGAGGAGGCGAAGAAAACCUGUUUGAAAAGGUUGGUGGGGGGGUCUAAGGGGAAGGAGACGUUCACCUUGUCAAAGUGCCCUCCUGCGCCCUGUGAGAGCAGCCGAGAGGAGCUGUCGGGCCGGGUGCCCGCGCUCCCGGCUGUGCUGUGCACCCCUCUCCUCAACUCCCUGCCUGGUCUCUGAGUCUCUGGAGUACACUUAGCACUUUCUACUACCCGAGCCUCCGCCUGUUCCUGCUGCUGGGAUCCGGCUGCCCAGAAGUGAGAGUGAGGGGUGGAGUCACCUCACCCGGGAGCCCUCAAAGCAGAAACCAGACUGUGUGGUUCGGGCAAAAGGACUUCUGUCCUGGUCCCCGGGGAGCAGCGCGGUUUCUGGAGCACUUGACUGUCGAGGUGGGUCACAGGGAAUCACUGUACUUUCAUUUCCCGUGGCAGAAGUUGCUCUUCUGUCAUUGCACUAAGCGGCAGAAGGGUUAGGGAGCUUUUGUGGGACCUGCUCCCAGGGUCCUCCUGAGGAACUGCACCGCCCUGUGGCUUUGCAGGCUCCGGAAAGUGAGGAGGAUCGGAAGUCCUGUCCUCUCCCCAGUGACCUCGUGAUGGAGCCUUCUGGCACUGUCUGCCUCACCUCUCAGAGCACUAGUGCGUCAUGCUCGCUUCAGCAGCACAUGUACUAAAAUUGGAACGAUAUCUAUCCCCAGCAUUUCUGAUGAUACAAGACUUGGUGGAGCCCAGGAAAUCGGCAUUUUCUCCAGAACCACAGAGGUUUCACAUCAGUUAUUUUUAUGGUACCGUUGAGAAUCAACGUUUAAAUAAAAAUACUUGCUGAAAUUUGCCGACCAUCAAAUGCCACCUGAAUGUAAAGGAGAUUGUACCUAAUGAUGUAACUAGCAAGGAUUGUCCUCUCACUGCCUGCUGUCUUCCUAAUACAGCCUGUUUGAGCCAAAUGGAUGAAUCUCCAAGUUCAGAGUUGCUAUUUGAAUCCUUAACCUAAAAAGGCACUUCUGCUGGAAUGAUUUUCAUGAUGGUUUAUUUUUUCCUCCUUGUGUUUUUGGAAUUAGCAAAUUAAUGCAUGUUUGUUAAAAAAAUUGCAAAUGAUGCUGCCAUGUGUGGGGUUAAAAAGAAAAAAAGAAAAAGGAGAUAUUUUUGUUGUCACUCUACUCUUCCUGUGGACUCCAUGAGGAUUGCUGAGCCCACAAAUGUGAGGCUACCAAUCGGUCCUAGAUUUCAGUUUCUCCAGAUGACUCCAGUGACCAACUAGGUACAAAGACUUUCAGUUUUCCAUCAUUCAGUCCCACAUAAGAAAUCAAAUUUGGGCUGGGUGGCUCGGUGGUGGAGCCCUUGGCUGGCAUGCACAAGGCCUAGGUGCAACCCCUACCCCUGCCAAAAAAAAAAAAAA